AUGUCAUAACAUGACUGCUUGACAUUUACUGGUAUUCGUAAAAUAAGUUAGAUACAAUGUCUAGAUGACAGUUGCUCUAAUUGCCGUGCUUCCAAAAACUAUCUGAAUGAUUGUAAAUUUCUUGGCAGGUGCGGGUAAAGCUGCAUCCACCCAAGGCUGUGAUUUUAUACAGCCUUAAGCUGCUUGGUUUUUUUCACCUGGGAAAGGAAGCUUGACUGUAAUAGAAAUCCCACUACCUCAGGCCCUGUACAAACACACUCACAUUCAGACACACGUAAGGACCCAGGCUAGGCUUCUCAACUGUGUGGCAAUGUAUGAGGUUUUUUCAAUUAAGUGUGUCUUGUGCAGCGUUGUCAUACCGCACUGAGUGUUUAGACGCAUUACGAAGAAAAGAGGCUGAGAAGGCAACGGCAGGUGAUAAAUUAGCGAGGAAACUUGAGACGCUGAGACCUCACCUGGAGGCAGAGCCGGCUGCCUCGAGGCCAUGAGCUGUCACUCACAGCUGGAGGAAGCAUUUUGUUCCCAGGCCCUUUGGCUCAGACAUUCCUCUUCUCCCAAGUGAGGGAACCAUUAGUCCGACAGAACUUUCUACCAACUCCCCAUGCUCUUCUACUUGGCCGUCGCACAUGUAGCGCCUCCCCAAUCCAAGCUCUGGUUGUGGGAGACCGAGAAAUUGGACUCUUUUCACCCUAAACAGAAGGCCUUUGAUGGGGAUAGGCCAGGGAAUGAAGCCCUAACCAAAGUAAGAGACCCAACCAUUCUUGGCUUUCACUAGGGGACUUCUAGCUGAAGGAUCUUGCGGGAAAUAGGUUCAUACCUUGUCCAAGUACGUGAUCUUGUGCCCUGUUACUAAUGCUUCAACUGUUUAACACCCGUUUUAUAGCAGAUCAAGGAAAUGUUGGCAUAUAAGGUAAUAGAAUAAAUAAAGUUAGAUGUGGUAUCAAGAAAUAUUUAAGCGCUCUAAAGGGUUUCUUAAUUCCUUACUGACGAACAAUAUCCUUGUACUUAACAGCUCUAUUCUUUGAAGACUGAACAUGUCUCCCUUCUAAUAUAAAGUAACGAAUACAAAGGCAUUUGUUUCAUUGUGUUCAUGACUGUGAGAGCUACCCUAUAAAGUAGUUGAUACUUGACAGUCCUAGCAGAUCCUCCUGUUCUCACUGGAUGAACUCUGUGUGACUCCA